CCCUUAGAUGUUCUGGGCCGCACGCGUGCUACACUGAGUGGAUCAGCGGGUCAGGUUGCGCGAAAGUGUUUCCUAAUCUUGAAAUCCGCUCGUGAUGGGGAUUGACGGUUGCAAUUUUCCGUCAUGAACGAGGAAUACCUUGUAAGCGCGGGUCAUCGUCCCGCGCUGAAUACGUCCCUGCCCUUUGUACACACCGCCCGUCGCUCCUACCGAUUGAGUGGUCCGGUGAGGCUUUGGGAUCUGAGCAAAAAGAGCGUUUCGCUCGUUUGGCUCGGAAAACUCAGUCGAACCUUAUCAUUUAGAGGAAGGAGAAGUCGUAACA
rnacentral:rRNA from 1 species